UACGUAGGGGGCAAGCGUUGUCCGGAUUUAUUGGGCGUAAAGAGCUCGUAGGCGGUUUGUCGCGUCUGCUGUGAAAUCUUAGGGCUUAACCCUGAGCUUGCAGUGGGUACGGGCAGACUAGAGUGCGGUAGGGGAGACUGGAAUUCCUGGUGUAGCGGUGAAAUGCGCAGAUAUCAGGAGGAACACCGGUGGCGAAGGCGGGUCUCUGGGCCGUAACUGACGCUGAGGAGCGAAAGCGUGGGGAGCAAACAGG
rnacentral:rRNA from 1 species